rnacentral:rRNA from 1 species
CCUACGGGGGGCAGCAGUGGGGGAUAUUGCACAAUGGGGGGAACCCUGAUGCAGCGACGCCGCGUGGGUGAAGGAGUGCUUCGGCAUGUAAAGCCCUAUCGGCAGGGAAGAAGCAAGACGGUACCUGAGUAAGAAGCUCCGGCUAAAUACGUGCCAGCAGCCGCGGUAAUACGUAUGGAGCAAGCGUUAUCCGGAUUUACUGGGCGUAAAGGGAGCGUAGGCGGCCUGCCAAGUCUGAUGUGAAAUACCGGGGCUCAACCCCGGGGCUGCAUUGGAAACUGGCAGGCUGGAGUGCCGGAGAGGCAGGCGGAAUUCCUAGUGUAGCGGUGAAAUGCGUAGAUAUUAGGAGGAACACCGGCGGCGAAGGCGGCUUACUGGACUGUAACUGACGUUGAGGCUCGAAGGCGUGGGGAGCAAACAGGAUUAGAUACCCUGGUAGUC